rnacentral:rRNA from 1 species
CCUACGGGUGGCAGCAGUGGGGAAUAUUGGACAAUGGGCGAAAGCCUGAUCCAGCCAUGCCGCGUGUGUGAAGAAGGCCUUCGGGUUGUAAAGCACUUUCAGUGGGGAAGAAAGCCUUGGGGCUAAUACCCUCGAGGAAGGACAUCACCCACAGAAGAAGCACCGGCUAACUCCGUGCCAGCACGCCGCGGUAAUACGGAGGGUGCGAGCGUUAAUCGGAAUUACUGGGCGUAAAGCGCGCGUAGGCGGUCUGAUAAGCCGGUUGUGAAAGCCCCGGGCUCAACCUGGGAACGGCAUCCGGAACUGUCAGGCUAGAGUGCAGGAGAGGAAGGUAGAAUUCCCGGUGUAGCGGUGAAAUGCGUAGAGAUCGGGAGGAAUACCAGUGGCGAAGGCGGCCUUCUGGACUGACACUGACGCUGAGGUGCGAAAGCGUGGGUAGCAAACAGGAUUAGAUACCCGAGUAGUC